UUCGCAAUGCCCGAAAGGGUGACGAUGCGACGCCGCGUGAGCGAAGAAGGCCCUAGGGUUGUAAAGCUCUGUCGAGGGUUAUGAAAUAUAGAUGGGUUAAUACCCCAUUUAUUUGACAAAAGCCCAAAAGGAAGCCACGGCUAACUCUGUGCCAGCAGCCGCGGUAAUACAGAGGUGGCGAGCGUUGUUCGGUAUUAUUGGGCGUAAAGAGCACGUAGGUGGUUUUGUAAGUCAGGCGUGAAAGCCUUCUGUUCAAAGGAAGAACGGCAUCUGAAACUGCAGAUCUUGAGUGUAGGAGGGGAGAGUGGAACUUCUGGUGGAGCGGUGAAAUGCGUAGAUAUCAGAAGGAACGUCGGCGGCGAAAGUGACUCUCUGGCCUAUUACUGACACUGAGGUGCGAAAGUUAGGGGAGCAAACGGGAUUAGAUACCCCGGUAGUCCUAACCGUAAACGAUGGGCACUAAGUAGAGGGGUUUU
rnacentral:rRNA from 1 species